rnacentral:lncRNA from 1 species
GUCUAUGUCCUUAUUAAGAACUAAUUAAUCACAUGUGCACGCAGUUGUCUAAACAACCACGGACCAUCAGCUUUGGAGGCGUUAUUCAUGGGCAUCUGGCUGUAUCUCCUUAUCUUAGAGAGGAAGAAACUGACAUCCAGGAGAGCAAAGGUGACAGGUCCCAGAACACAGCUGGGUAGGGACCCAAAAGAGACUGGAACCCAGCUGAGCCGUUUAACAACUAAAAUCAGAAGAUGGACCUGGCUCCGUGUGUGCCGUGCCUGAGCACGUUAGUAACGAGCCACAGGAGAGAAGCUUGAUUCCAGACAGAAGAUGAUGCCUUCAACAGUUCAGAAGAUAACUUUGCCUCCUUUGCAGAAGUCUGACCCUUGUCCUGAGCAUCCAAUACUAAAAAAUAAAGUGAAGUAUAUGAUUAAAACUUGCGAUUACGUUGGUUCCAGCCAGUGUUGAAAGGAGCUGCAGUGCUGUGUUUGUUCGAUCUGAGAGGGUGAGCAAUCAGAGAUGACCACUGGAUUCUUUCUAGUGCAAACAGAAGUGAAUGCUCAGGGCUAUAAAGCUGAUCUCGGGUCCCUCUGAUUUAACAGAAACACGAUGAAGAUUUCCAGAAAAACGUAGUAAUUUACCUUCUCUGCAAGAGAUAUUCCUUUUACUGGCUUCAAAUUUUGGUGGCCACUGAAAGAACAAAGAAGGAUGAAGUUCUUUCCCAUGACUUUUAUUUAUAUAGGUCUUUACUGCUCGGGAAGUAUUAUCACGUGCUAUCUUGUUUGGAAUAUAAAAGAAAGUGGUGCAUACUGAAGCUAUUAAGAUGAGCUCUUGAUUCUAAAAUGACCCUGUCCCCCCAGGCUAGUGUUUCACAGACCUGAUGAUAUCCAGACAGUGCUGACCUCCGGACUCCACGAGAAGCCUUUUAACUAAUCAUUCCACCUUCAAUAGUCAAGCUGUCCAGAAGACUCGGAUUGAACUGAUCUGAAUAACUUUGGUUUUGGUUUCUUUGAAAACAUUUUCUUUUUGUCUCUUUGUGGAAAAUGAGCUCUUUUAAAUAGAUUUCCCUUUAUUGUUGAGAAUUAUGGGGAUGGUUAGAAAAGGAAAU